CCUACGGGUGGCUGCAGUGGGGAAUAUUGGACAAUGGGCGAAAGCCUGAUCCAGCCAUGCCGCGUGUGUGAAGAAGGCCUUCGGGUUGUAAAGCACUUUCAGUGGGGAAGAAAGCCUUGGGGCUAAUACCCUCGAGGAAGGACAUCACCCACAGAAGAAGCACCGGCUAACUCCGUGCCAGCAGCCGCGGUAAUACGGAGGGUGCGAGCGUUAAUCGGAAUUACUGGGCGUAAAGCGCGCGUAGGCGGUCUGAUAAGCCGGUUGUGAAAGCCCCGGGCUCAACCUGGGAACGGCAUCCGGAACUGUCAGGCUAGAGUGCAGGAGAGGAAGGUAGAAUUCCCGGUGGAGCAGUGAAAUGCGUAGAGAUCGGGAGGAAUACCAGUGGCGAAGGCGGCCUUCUGGACUGACACUGACGCUGAGGUGCGAAAGCGUGGGUAGCAAACAGGAUUAGAUACCCCGGUAGUC
rnacentral:rRNA from 1 species